rnacentral:rRNA from 1 species
UACAGAGGUCUCAAGCGUUGUUCGGAUUCAUUGGGCGUAAAGGGUGCGUAGGCGGCGCGGUAAGUCGGGUGUGAAAUCUCGGGGCUUAACUCCGAAACUGCAUUCGAUACUGCCGUGCUUGAGGACGGGAGAGGAGACUGGAAUUUACGGUGUAGCGGUGAAAUGCGUAGAUAUCGUAAGGAAGACCAGUGGCGAAGGCGGGUCUCUGGACAGUUCCUGACGCUGAGGCACGAAGGUCAGGGGAGCAAACGGG